rnacentral:rRNA from 1 species
AGAGUUUGAUCCUGGCUCAGGGUAAACGCUGGCGGCGUGCCUAAAACAUGCAAGUCGAACGCAGGACUUCGGUUCUGAGUGGCGGACGGCUGAGUAACGCGUGGGUGACCUGACCUCGAGUGGGGAAUAACUGCCCGAAAGGGUGGCUAAGACCGCAUGAGCUCUGUGGACCGAUCCAUAGAGGAAAGCCCUUUGGGGUG